GAUGAACGCUGGCGGCGUGCCUAAUACAUGCAAGUCGAGCGAACGGACGAGAAGCUUGCUUCUCUGAUGUUAGCGGCGGACGGGUGAGUAACACGUGGAUAACCUACCUAUAAGGCUGGGAUAACUCCGGGAAACCGUAGCUAAUACCGGAUAAUAUUUUGAACCGCAUGGUUCAAAAGUGAAAGACGGUCUUGCUGUCACUUAUAGAUGGAUCCGCGCUGCAUUAGCUAGUUGGUAAGGUAACGGCUUACCAAGGCAACGAUGCAUAGCCGACCUGAGAGGGUGAUCGGCCACACUGGAACUGAGACACGGUCCAGACUCCUACGGGAGGCAGCAGUAGGGAAUCUUCCGCAAUGGGCGAAAGCCUGACGGAGCAACGCCGCGUGAGUGAUGAAGGUCUUCGGAUCGUAAAACUCUGUUAUUAGGGAAGAACAUAUGUGUAAGUAACUGUGCACAUCUUGACGGUACCUAAUCAGAAAGCCACGGCUAACUACGUG
rnacentral:rRNA from 1 species